ACGCGAAGAACCUUACCAAGGCUUGACAUAUAGAGGAAACGUGCAGAAAUGUACGCCCCGCAAGGUCUCUAUACAGGUGGUGCAUGGUUGUCGUCAGCUCGUGUCGUGAGAUGUUGGGUUAAGUCCCGCAACGAGCGCAACCCUCGUCCUAUGUUGCCAGCACGUAAAGGUGGGAACUCAUGGGAGACUGCCGGGGUCAACUCGGAGGAAGGUGGGGAUGACGUCAAAUCAUCAUGCCCCUUAUGUCUUGGGCUUCACGCAUGCUACAAUGGCCAGUACAAAGGGCUGCAAUACCGUAAGGUGGAGCGAAUCCCAAAAAGCUGGUCUCAGUUCGGAUUGAGGUCUGCAACUCGACCUCAUGAAGUCGGAGUC
rnacentral:rRNA from 1 species